rnacentral:rRNA from 1 species
AUUGAACGCUGGCGGCAUGCUUUACACAUGCAAGUCGAACGGCAGCGCGGGCCUCGGCCUGGCGGCGAGUGGCGAACGGGUGAGUAAUGCAUCGGAACGUGCCCAGUAGUGGGGGAUAGCCCGGCGAAAGCCGGAUUAAUACCGCAUACGACCUGAGGGUGAAAGCGGGGGACCGAAAGGCCUCGCGCUAUUGGAGCGGCCGAUGUCGGAUUAGCUAGUUGGUGGGGUAAAGGCUUACCAAGGCGACGAUCCGUAGCUGGUCUGAGAGGACGACCAGCCACACUGGGACUGAGACACGGCCCAGAGUCCUACGGGAGGCAGCAGUGGGGAAUGUUGGACAAUGGGGGCAACCCUGAUCCAGCCAUGCCGCGUGCGGGAAGAAGGCCUUCGGGUUGUAAAACGCUUUUGUUCGGGAAGAAAUCCUCUGGGCUAAUACCCCGGGGGGAUGACGGUACCGGAAGAAUAAGCACCGGCUAACUACGUG